AUUGAACGCUGGCGGCAUGCUUUACACAUGCAAGUCGAACGGUAACAGGGAGCUUGCUCCGCUGACGAGUGGCGAACGGGUGAGUAAUGCAUCGGAACGUGCCGUGUAGUGGGGGAUAACGUAGCGAAAGUUACGCUAAUACCGCAUACGCCCCGAGGGGGAAAGUGGGGGACCGCAAGGCCUCACGCUAUACGAGCGGCCGAUGUCGGAUUAGCUAGUUGGUAGGGUAAAGGCCUACCAAGGCGACGAUCCGUAGCGGGUCUGAGAGGAUGAUCCGCCACACUGGGACUGAGACACGGCCCAGACUCCUACGGGAGGCAGCAGUGGGGAAUUUUGGACAAUGGGCGCAAGCCUGAUCCAGCCAUGCCGCGUGAGUGAAGAAGGCCUCGGUUGUAAGGUAC
rnacentral:rRNA from 1 species